GAUGAACGCUGGCGGCGUGCCUAAUACAUGCAAGUCGAGCGAAUGGACUAAGAGCUUGCUCUUAUGAAGUUAGCGGCGGACGGGUGAGUAACACGUGGGUAACCUGCCCAUAAGACUGGGAUAACUCCGGGAAACCGGGGCUAAUACCGGAUAACAUUUUGAACCGCAUGGUUCGAAAUUGAAAGGCGGCUUCGGCUGUCACUUAUGGAUGGACCCGCGUCGCAUUAGCUAGUUGGUGAGGUAACGGCUCACCAAGGCAACGAUGCGUAGCCGACCUGGGAGGGUGAUCGGCCACACCGGGACUGGAACACGGCCCAGACUCCUACGGGAGGCAGCAGUAGGGAAUCUUCCGCAAUGGACGAAAGUCUGACGGAGCAACGCCGCGUGAGUGAUGAAGGCUUUCGGGUCGUAAAACUCUGUUGUUAGGGAAGAACAAGUGCUAGUUGAAUAAGCUGGCACCUUGACGGUACCUAACCAGAAAGCCACGGCUAACUACGUGCCAGCCGCCGCCGUAA
rnacentral:rRNA from 1 species